UUGAGUGAGAAUAAAGUUAUUUUCAAGUACAGAUAAAAAAAGGAAAAAGACAUUCUCAGAGCAAGGUUCCUAGUGGAGUCAAUAGUUGACUUGCCUCCGAAUAUCCUAAGAUGUUAGUGCAAAAUGUGAAUUUCUCUGACUUCCUGAAUCUGAAGACGGCAGGGCUGGGCAUCUGCGUUGUUCAGCAAGCUACCAGGCGAGGAACCUGAGGCCUGGAGAAUGAGAAGCUUUUCCAGCACCACACAGUUACUAAGUCAGCCUCCAGUUCUGCGUCUUUCUCUGCUCCAGGAAGUGCUGCACACUGAAACAGUGAGCCCCAAACAUUCCCGAAGAAGCCAGGAAAGUGAAGACACGUGCUUGAAAGUAGCCUAGAUCCGGCAUUCGUAGCCGCACACCAUCGCCAGCAACUCCCAGUGGUUUUCCCUCUUUGGCCCAAUGUUUGCAGUGCCUGCUGCUCAUUUUCACUGAACUCGGCCCAUGGAGCUUUCUUGAGAAUGAGCUGAACCUUUGCCUGGAAGGCAGCAGAGCUGCAGUGGGACAGUCUUUGUGUUGACACGCGGGGUGACAUGGCAGGAGCCUGGCGGGGCGGGGGGGAGAGGAGGGAAGUCCAGGCUCUGGACAGGUGUCCUGGGUUUCAUGCCAGCUCUGCCACCAGCUCUCUCUGUGACCUUGGGCUUCUUGCUCAACCUCUUCCUGCCUCAGUUCCCUCACUUCUCCAGUAAGGGUCAUAAUAAUAGCACAAGCACCCUUGAGGGUUGUGACUGUUACAGGGGUUUGACGCAUGUGGAGACUGAUGGCCACAUCAGAGUGCGUGCUCCGCGAGUGUCAGCUCUCCACGGGGGCAGGCACAGGUGACAGGGAAGCCCGUGGCUCCCGCAGGAGAGGCGGGAGCUUAGAAAACUGCCUUUUCUUUUCUUCUUUUUUUAACCCUGAGGAUUAUAGAAAUCUGCGUCUGCAUUCUGGCUUCCUCCACACAAUGAUUUAUUUAAUAUCAAAUCAUUAUGUAGAAAUAAUAAGCAUAGGUGUGAGCACCUGGGGAGACUGUAUGGUCGUCUUUAUGUUGGCGCUUUGCAAGAUGAUAUAAAAAUACUAACUUUGGGGUGGGCCCAGUGGCAUAGCUGUUAAGUUCAUGUGCUCCACUUCAGCAGCCCUAGGUUCACAGGUUUGGAUCCUGGGCACAGACCUCAUCGCUCGUCGAAGCGUAAUACAUAAAAUAGAGGAAGAUGGCACAGGUGUUCGCUCAGGGCCAAUCUUCCUUGCACACACACAAUAAUAAUACUAAUUUUCAUUAUAAUAUUUUAAUUGAUAGUUUUCAGGUUGGCAUGGACUAAUAAACAGUAUAAAUUGACACGACAUAGAAUUUUAGUGCUUUCGGGUCUGUAGAUGAACUUUGAGCGUAGUGAAGCAGGUCUUCCCCGAUGCUGGUGAAAGCAGGCGUGAGGUGUGUGUAGCACAGCGGCUGAGUGUGACCUCUCACCCUCAGAUGAGUUUGGAUCCUGGACUUCCCAUUGGCUGUUUAUGGGGCCCCUUAUGGGGCCCUGGGAAAGUUAUUUAUUUUUUCUAAGCCUCAGUUUACUCUUAUGUGAAAUGUUCUGAGCAUCGUUUCUAAAUCAUAGAGUUGUGUCAAAUAAAAACAAACCUGGACUUCGAUAAGGAGAAACUUUAUUCGAAAAGACCAUCGCGAACAGGAGAGUCUCCAAUCUCAGGAAUCUGCAGGUAGCUCAGAACCAAACAGAAAAGGCUUUUCUUUUAUGGGGAGGGGUAAGGAGAUCUCAGCAGCCAUGGGAGUUGGGCAAGCAGGGAGCGUGAUGGCCGGGGUCUGGCGGGAAGCGUGUCUCGCUGUGGUCAGCCAUUCCCAGGAUACGCUGAUAAAGGGAGGCCUUAGAGCCUGCCCAGGCCCAAGGCAGGCAGAGUUCAGGGGCCUGUGGGGACGAGAGAAGCCCCACUUGAGUUUUGUCAAGACAAAGCAGCAGUUAAGAAACGGGCAAGUGUGAGCACUUGGUCUCCUGUUUUGAGGAUUAAGUGAAAUUACCCAUAUAUAUCCCUCACCAAGGUCUCUGGGUAGUAACGACAAAUGCUGGGGUGAUUUUUUAUUACAAAUGCUCGAUUCUAAAAUGUUUGAGAGAAGCUUUUUCUUUCUCUUGAGCAGAAUAAUUUAGUCACAUACCACUGAUAAUCUCCCAUCCACUGAGCAUUUACUAUGGUCCAGGCCCAGUGCUGGGAAGAGGCACAGACGUUGGUGAGAGAGUUCCUGAGCUUAAGGAGUUCUCAGUCCAGCAGGACAGAAGGAAGUGUUAUGCGACGUAACGUGAAAGGGGCAACCAGUCUGACAUAUGAGGGAUGUCAUGGGAGA
rnacentral:lncRNA from 1 species